UUUAAGCUGGACAAAAACGUUUCCGGAGCCUGGUAACUCCACCACCGUUGGCGAUAUUUGACAGCCAAUGGGAGCUGGAGUUCCCGCGUGCCGAACGUUCAUUCAUCAAUGCAGUGAA
rnacentral:precursor_RNA from 11 species